rfam:Aedes albopictus isolate Foshan contig53498, whole genome shotgun sequence.
UAGCCUAGUGAUUAAGGCUAUGGAUUGCCGAUUCGGAGACGGCGGGUUCGAUUCCCGU